GAUGAACGCUAGCGGCAGGCUUAACACAUGCAAGUCGAGGGGUAUUUAUCUUCGGAUAGAGAGACCGGCGCACGGGUGCGUAACGCGUAUGCAAUCUACCUUUUACAGAGGGAUAGCCCAGAGAACUUUGGAUUAAUACCUCAUAGUAUAUAGACUCGGCAUCGAGAUUAUAUUAAAGUCACAACGGUAAAAGAUGAGCAUGCGUCCCAUUAGCUAGUUGGUAAGGUAACGGCUUACCAAGGCUACGAUGGGUAGGGGUCCUGAGAGGGAGAUCCCCCACACUGGUACUGAGACACGGACCAGACUCCUACGGGAGGCAGCAGUGAGGAAUAUUGGACAAUGGGCGCAAGCCUGAUCCAGCCAUGCCGCGUGCAGGAUGACGGUCCUAUGGAUUGUAAACUGCUUUUAUACGAGAAGAAACACUGCUACGUGUAGCAGCUUGACGGUAUCGUAAGAAUAAGGAUCGGCUAACUCCGUG
rnacentral:rRNA from 1 species